AAAAGUUUUAAAUAAAAAUACUAAUUGGAAGAAUAUGUAUUGGUUUACUCUUAACUAAGAAUAAACCAGAAUUGAAAGAAUAUAUAUAAAAAAGUUUUAAUCAGACAUUUGUACAACCGUUUUAUAUGGAAUAAUUGACUGGAAUAAUUCAUCUAUCCAUAAGCAAACAGUUUCUCUUGAGCUUUCGAUUUGCUGGCACAUAUACGACGAGACGAGAGAUUUUUCGAUUCUUAACACGAUUCUGCCUAGUGAAGAGAACAAAUUUUUCGGAAUCUGAUCUGAGUCUAAAUUGUUUACGAGAAAAUUUUUAGCGAUAUUACGUCGAAGAAUCGCAAUACUAUAACUGAGAACAUCACAUAUUUAAAUAUGGCUUUUAAAACAUAUUUGUUAUUUGUGUUUCUUAUUGUUAUCACGUUAACACAUGAGGCAGUAACUAAGAGUAAACCAAAACUUUGCCACCAAGUGUACGAUUCAGGUGCUUGCAAAAUAUAAGAACCGAGAUAUUUUUAUCUCGAUGAUGUAAAUAAUUGCGAACAUUUUUUGUAUGGAGGUUGUGGUGGAAACCAAAAUAAUUUCAAAACCUACGAGGAAUGCAAACGUACAUGCAAAGAUGUUUAAAAAGUUGUAAAUAAAAAUACUAAUUGAAAGAAUGUGCAAAUUUUUAUGAGACAUUUGCACAAUAGUUUUAUAUGAAAUAAUUGACUGCAAUAAAAUCAAACAUACGAAUAUAUAUGUAAUUUGUAAUUUGUGAAAUGUAGAAAAAUUAGCAAGAAAUGAAAAAAACGUACUAUAGUACUGCAACAUUAUAGAAAUGUUAGGAAAUGAACAUAUAUACAUUAUGAUUGGCGAGAAAUCUGAAUUUGCAUUGUAGCGAAAAUUUAUUAGAAACGGUUAUGCCGUUCUUUUGAGGCUACAUCGCACUAUACGCAACAGCGAUUUAUCGGCUACAUAACUGCCAGACUAGUGCGCAUGCUGACUACGUUGUUACCUGAAAGAAUCGGCGCAGGAUCGAUCAUAAUCCUACAUUCGGCAUUUCGUUGUCUAAGCAAACGGUUCCUUGAGCUCUCGAUCUGUUGGAACAUAUACGACGAGACGAGGAACUUAUCGGUUCUGCCAAUUGAAGAGAUCAAAUUUUUCGAAAUCUGAUUACAGCCUUCGUCAUUGUUAAAAAAAUUAUUGGCGAUUAUACAUUAGAGAGACGCUACUGCUACACAAAUUGAAACAUAAACAGGAAUAAAAUGGAUUACAAAGCUUGGUCAUUAUUUGUGCUAGUCAUCGUUAGCACGUUAAUUUACGGGACAAUAGCAUAUCCGAAACAUUUGUAUUGCAAAGAAGAAUUUAGUUCAGGUUACGGCAAAAAAAACGAAGAAAGAUAUUAUUAUAACAUCAAUAGACAAGAGUGUAAUAUGUUUAUUUAUUCAGGCCGUGGAGGAACUCUUAACAAUUUUAAGACCUUGGAUGAAUGCAUAUUAGCAUGUGCAAAUGUAACAACAGAGCUACACAAUCAACAUAAAAUGUCCUACAAUAAACAUUAAACAGAUCUUUAAGACUUUGUAAUCUUAGUUAUAUAUUUAUUUUACACUUGUGUGUUUUUACACUAAUUGACUAUAGUAACUUACAAUGUGUGUAUAAGAAUGAAUAAAGACAUUAUUAUUUCUUA
rnacentral:lncRNA from 1 species